AGCCAAUGAUGAGCUCUUUUAAAUUUCUGACACCUCGUAUGAAAACUGGUUGCAGUUCUUGAUUAUGGACAUGAGCUGAGGCUU